GUAAAAUUCGUUAUAAAUUUGAUGCGACAGUUCAAAGUUUUGUACUUUCCAGACCUGCACAACGAAUUACCUAUUUGAAAAAUAGAAAAUGGUUAAAAAUUGCUGAUGUGAUAGAGGAUUCAAGUACCAUUUACAAACAAAAUAUUGAAGAGAAUGUGCUCGAAAGGAAAUUCAUAUGAAUUCUUUUUUGUUGACCAGGAUGGAAAAAGUCAUUGGAACCCAUAGUUAGAAUAAGAAUAAGUUAGGCCUAGAGGUGUACCAGCCAGAAGUAGAGGAUGACAAAGAAAAUCAACUAUGAAUAAUA